GUGCAUAUGGGAAGGAAAUCGAUAUUUGGAGUGCAGGGGUAAUGUUGUAUAUUCUAUUAAGCGGUGUGCCUCCAUGUAGGGAUUGGAUGUUAGUUUGAAUUUGGGUUCCUCUUCGUUGGCUGAUGGUUCGAAAUGGACGGAUUGGAUCCUGGCGGUCAUUAUAAACAGCCGAAAGUUAAUUCCUUGGCAAUGUGAGACCUUCUUACUGUUAACUUUUUUUUUUGUUUUGAUAGGCUUUGUGAUUAUUGUUAAAAUAUGACUGAUUAAGGUUAAAAACUUAAAUGGUAUUUGACGGUUUUUUUCAAGAAUUAAUUAAUAUUUUUGGAUAAAAGAAUAUUAAUCGAUCUACCCUACACUAAACGAUAAAGACAAGGAGGCAAGAUGCUAAACCAUCUCAGUAUUGAGUUAUUUACAACCAAUCAAUUAACAUGGGUGUUUACUUGUACCAAUAAUUGUUUUAAAUGAACCAAUGGGUUGUCGUGCAUCGUAUGUUUUAGUUUUUCUUUUUCUGUUUUUUAUGGACCCAGAAAUUGCAUAAAUAGAAUGUAAUACCAGCAUCUGUAGUAGGCGGUAACAGAUCUGUUUGUUUGUCUUUCUUGAUUUGACAACAUUGGCGAGCUACUUUUGUUUAAUGUUAGGUUAUCAGCACACGGAGAGUAAAAAAACAAUGUUGACUUCCCGAAGUGGGCAAGAUAUUCGAGAAGCUCGUGAAUAUCUUUCUACACUAAGUGACCUCAGUUAAACUCAAAAUUUUGCAGAGAUUGAAAAUGUAGAGGGCCUUGUGAAUUUUGAUGAAAUUCUACAGGAAGCUGAUGGCAUUAUCCUUGCUAGAGGGAAUUUACGGAUUGACCUUCCACCAGAUAAGGUAUUUCUGUUUCAAAAAGCAGCUGUGUACAAAUGUAACAUGGCUGGGAAACCGGCUGUUGUUACUCCCGACAACUUGAGGCCCACCCGUUCUG